GUUAAUAGCGCCGGUAGGUGCACAGAAUUUCCUCCCUUUUUUCUCUACAGGUGGGCCCUCCCGAUUAGGAUAAUAUUUUGCUUAAGGUGACUACUCCAACUUCAACUUUCAAUGAAAAUCCAACUGGAAUUACAAGUCACCCACCAACUGAUGCACCUUCAAUUUCAAAUGGGCCCCUAUACUGUCAAGCCUUCAAAUGCUGAAGCGUUGCCACAGAAACCAAAGCCAAUGAUUCUGCUCCCAUUGAAGAAGGAUAUAAUCUAAGGAUACGAAAGAAAUUAAAGGAUUGUUGGACCUGGAACCUUGAAGAGUUGUCUAAGUUUUUAUGUUGACUUUAGUUUAGUGUUUCUUUUUUGAAGGAAUGAAUGUAACUUGAACUCUAAAUGUCGAACUUUGUGUUGUACUGCUGUUUUCUAAAAUUUAUUUGUGCCUAUUUAGUACA